GGGAUGUUGUUAUGCACUGGAUUUUAUAGAAAGGUUUGGUGGUGAGCCAAACCUUUU
rnacentral:ncRNA from 1 species